UGCCAGCAGCCGCGGUAAUACGGAGGGGGUUAGCGUUGUUCGGAAUUACUGGGCGUAAAGCGCACGUAGGCGGAUUAGUAAGUUAGGGGUGAAAUCCCGGGGCUCAACCUGGGAUGGUCAUUUAGAACUGGCAGACUAGAGUCUUGGAGAGGUGAGUGGAAUUCCGAGUGUAGAGGUGAAAUUCGUAGAUAUUCGGAGGAACACCAGUGGCGAAGACGGCUCACUGGCUCGAUACUGACGCUGAGGUGCGAAAGCGUAGGGAGCAAACAGGAUUAGAUA
rnacentral:rRNA from 1 species